CUCCCCCUGCCCCGCGCCGACACCGUAUUACAACUUUAGUUUUAUCGAAGUCGCUGCGUACCGAGCACGCUACCCGUUUACGAUCCCCUUUUGUUCUGCUACACUUAUAUCGAUUGUGAAAACGAAAGUUUUGCAAAUAUUGACAAUAUAGUGAAUGGGCCGAGGUCAACUAGUGGUAAACCAAAGAACUUGAACCUAAAAACAGUGUGUUUUUGUCAUUCUCGAACGCUCUACUGAGGAAGUUCUUCCGUGAUUUAUGAAAAAGCUUGGGAUAACGGAGCUUUUAUUAUCCGCUGUGCGGUGACUCAUCGAGUGCAAUGUGAUUUCAUGAACGAGAAAUGAUGGACGUAGUGAGUGAGUCUAGCAAGUGGCGUGGAGGGUUCCUCUCCACAAUAAACAGAAGCUUUCGCCUCAAAAAGUUGAAUUCUCCUGUAGAAAACAAGACCAUUGAAAUGCCUACGGGUCUCAAUUCAUCCACUGAAGCUUCAAGUAUGCGUCCCCUGGAGAUCGUAGCUCCAAGAAUAGACACAUAUCGGUUCUCCAUGGCCAAUCUUGAAGAGACCCAGGAUGCUGAUCUGGAUGCCAUCCUUGGGGAGCUAUGUGCGUUAGACUCGGAGUACGACGAGGAACUGUCCAGGGUAUCUGCAGAUUUCUCAACGACUUCAAAAGACCGAGUGGACGGAGAAGUUCCCCAGCGUCAGGACAUCAAGGAGACAGAUGGUGCCUCGCACAUAACAAGAACGGACUCGCCUGACAACGACUCCGCCUUUAGUGAUACGGUUUCAAUGCUCUCGAGCGAGUCGUCGGCUUCUAGCAGUGCCAGUUCGAAAUGCAAGCCUAUGAAACUUACCCUUCAUACCCAUCAAAAGGGUUCCCUUUAUCAACAGAAGGCCGAUAAAAUAAAAAUGGCUUUGGAACGAAUGAGAGAGGCAAACGUGAAGAAACUUUUUAUCAAGGCCUUUUCUAAUGACGGGUCAUCGAAGAGCCUUUUGGUGGACGAAAAAAUGACGUGUGGCUACGUCACUAGGUUGCUCGCUGACAAAAAUCACGUGCCCAUGGAGCCUAAGUAUGCGAUCGUUGAGCAGCUCCCAGAUUUGCACAUGGAACGUGUGUACGAAGACCACGAAAUGCUGGUGGACAACCUAAUGCUAUGGACCAGAGAGUCGAAGAACAAAAUACUGUUUGCAGAGCGACCAGAGAAAAAUUUGCUUUUUCAAACACCAGAAAAGUUUCUACUUAGCGAAGAUGACCGAGGUUGGUCCAGCGACCACGACGAUAAUUUACGACAAGUCAUCAUCGACGAAUUCUUUGGCCAAAGCAGCACAACUCCAUCAAUUUCGGGACAUACUGUACCACCCAUGGAAGGCUUUCUCUAUCUGAAAAGUGACGCUAAAAAGGGAUGGAAGAAGUACUACUUCGUACUUAGACCUUCUGGCCUAUACUAUGUGCCGAAAGACAAGGUGAAAACGUUGAAGGAGCUGGUGUGUCUGACGACAUUCGACAAUAACGAAGUAUACGUUGGUGUUAAUUGGAAGAAGAAGUAUAAAUCGCCAACUGAUUUUUGCUUCGCCAUCAAGCAUCCGAGACUGCAGCAACCGAAGAGUGUGAAAUUCAUUAAGUUCCUCUGCGCUGAUGACCAGCAGACAUUGGAUAGGUGGAUUACAGCGAUGAGAAUAGCUAAACAUGGAAGGCAGCUGCUAGAAAACUAUAGAUCGCUGGUAGAAGAGCUCACUCAAGAAGAUUUAGAUCACUUGGCUCAUGCGCGUUCUUGCUCUAUCUCCUCAAUACCCACUAAAACCAACAACCCGCCGAUGGUAACCAAUUCAGUGCAGCCAACAUCCAGCAAUGCGAGUGUUGCCAAUUCCGAUAUUAGUAGUGGAAGACAUUCCCGCGCUUCGUCAUCUAGUUCCAGCGGUUGUCUAUCAGAUGGAGGCACUGCGUCUGAGAGUGCUUUUGAUUGCGAGUUUCCUAUGGGUACAAUUAAACGCAAGCCAUCGAUGAAACCAAACAUUCCUUUGACCUGGAUGACACGGCAACUUAAAGAAAUGGCUGAAAAAGACGAAAGUGAGGGAGGUGACACCAGUACCCUGACCCGAAGACCUCGCCAGAGGGAUGAUACCCUCAAACGGCACGCAGGUGAGAGCUGGAGCAAACCUGAAAACGAACCAGGAGAUUGUAGCACUCUCACCAGAAGGCCUAGACAUUCUUUAGAUACAUCCGAAAGCGCAGUCUACAGUAGCAGUAGUAUGACGUCAUCAAGCUCCGUCCAGGACUCGUACGGCCAUUAUGAAACAAUUCCUCGUGACACCUACCGCGCUAGUGUCGACACCGCUUCAUCGCUUUACGGAUACACCAUUUACGAUAAAAGUCAAGUGGAAGAGUUCCCUCCGCCUCCCCCCCAAGACACAGGAAUGUUCAGCUCCACACUCAGUCUAGAUUCGCUACCACCGCCACCACCACCCCUGCCUGCAGAUUCAGUCGAAGACAUAACCGGGUCCCAAUUAAGCCUGCCUCCGCCUCCGCCAGAAAUAGAAAACACCGGUAGAGUACAAGACAUCGUCACGCAACUCACUGCUCAGCAGAUAGAACAAACAGCACCCAAGCGAUGCAGCAAAACCUUCCCAAGGCAGCCGUCAUUGGACAGCGUCAAUUCCGAGACUUCGAAGUCAUCCCUACAUUCCGAUAAGAGUCUAAGACAAAACGCAUACGGCGCUUGCUUAGUCGAACUGCAGACCAAAAAGCUAAGCAAUGGCAGCUCAUCAUUACAGAAGAAGUUAGAACCAGGUAAAGAACGAUCGAGCUCCUUGAAAAAAGUCAACUUUGCUGAUGAUCUUCCAAGCGACAAGAAGAAUAAAAAGAUAACAUUCAAUUUAACAGAGGCACCGCCGUCUCCCAGAAAACCUUUACCCCCUCGUCGGAAUGAAAGCACCAGAUUAUCGUCUCCGAAGAAAUUAGCAGAUUCGAACAGUAACCCACCCACAGAUUUCCUUAAAGAUUUACAGAGAGUGAUGAGAAAGAAAUGGCAAGUUGCGCAGAAGUGCAAAUUGGAGCCGACGACGACACCACACGAAGUACUUGGGUUCAGAGAGUAUCCGCUAUCAGACGAUUAUAAGGAGACGAGUGUAUCCAUGUGGGUGCAAGAGCACUACGGGGCUGGAUCUGUGGAAGAUCCGUUUUACGAAAACGUGUAUGGAAGAGAAACGUUGCCAGUGAGACGCGAGGAGCCAAAGCCGAUAAAGAAGAGACCUCCACCAGCACCUCCUAAGCGAAGUGACUCCACGCAUUUAACCACACAAUCAGGCGUUCACCUUCCCCACACUCUGCCCACUUCCAACGCUCCCCCGCAUCACGUUCAACCGACCGCUUGAUUAUUUAACUUUUCGCUCGCUUGUUGCUGGAUGAAACGAGACCGCGAAAUAACUAACAUUUAGCGAGCGAAAUUGUAGAGUUAGUGUAGUGACCUGCUCUCUAGUGUUCUCGGCGAGGCUUUGAACUAUAAUAGUCUCCGAGCAACAUUGAAUAGCCAACGCAUAAUCAUUCAAUUUGAGAGUGGCUUAAGGAUGGAUGUACGGCCGGCGGCAAAAAUGUUUGUGUAAAUAGUGAACGUAUGAAUUUUAUCUUCAGAAUUUUACAGUGUUUUUAAGGAUUUUUUAAUAUUUUUUACGAGAUGCAUGAACUAGGCUACCUUUUGAGCCCUCAUGCACUUUAUGCACACUUUCUAGGAAACUUGGGCCGAUAGGAACCAAAUGUUUAGAACACCUUAUUGAAAUUAAAUUUUUUGUAGCCGACUGUACUAAGGGAUACGACCAAUGGUUAAUUAGGUUAUGGAUAAAAUUGAAUGACGGUGCUAUUGUGAAAAGUAUACUAAUGUAGGUGAAUGUACUUGUGACCGCAAGGUUUUACCAAAUAUAAUUAUAUACCGCUUGCUUCUAGGCUAGUUACGAGUAUCUUCUAUUUAUUGGAUUUCAUUUAUGUUCCUAGUAGUUGCUCUAUCCGAGUAUUUCAGUUUUCAAUUGCUGCAUAUCUUGAACCGAUUUUCGAUUGAACUAUACGACCUGCACUACCUAUACACUGUCACUGUUGACAGAUUUUAUGAAUGACCAUGGGCACUUGAGAGAUGACAAGGUGUCAAGUGACAAUAUGUGUAGUAAUUGAGUAGAUUAGCUUUUUUAAACCCCCGUGUACACGUGAAACACCCCAUGUAUAUAAACCUUUUGCCAAGGACCAUUAUUUGCGCCGGCGCAUUGCUGAUCUCACUCCGAUUUUUUGUGGCUGUGACGAACUCAUGGCGAAGUAAAUUCUGUGGCGACUGUACCGUGAAAUAUAGGUAGCUGGGGUUUGAUUCUAUUGUAAAAUAUAUAAUUAUAAUUCUUAAAAAAUAAUAUGUAUAGAUUAAAAUGGUAGCUAAUUUUAUAGUCUUUAUGUUAUAUUUAUGAUAUUUGAGAAUGGAAAAGUCUCAAGAUCAUGGCCGACACUUUGAAUCGAUAAAAUUUAAGAAUCUCCAUUCCCAUAAACAGGCGAAUAAAUGAAUGUCUAAACAUCGAAUCUUAUCCCAGUCACCAACGCUUCGUAGAUUUGAAUUAUAAUUUCAAAAUUAGGAUAAAAGUUUGAGGCUUUGUAGAAAAAUAUCAAAUUGUUGGUUAUUUAAAAUUUACCUUAGUAUAUAAUCUCGAGUAGUUGAAAUUUUACGCGAAUAAAUGUUUAUAAUGUAAGACGCGGAAUUUCGUUCUUUUUUUUAAUUAAAGUUUAUACCUCUGUAAUUUAGAUAAUUUAUGGUAUAGGGGAGGUUUGUGAUGUAACAGAUUCAAAUAUCAGUUGUGGACGGCCACUGAGGUCUUUCAAUUUGAGCAUUCCACUCGUGGACUGAAAUGACUUAGACUAUUCGUAGCUAUCAAAAUUAAUCCUUCCAAUUUUCCCUUUGGGACGUAAGACUGAAUUCAUGUCCCGGGAUUUUGACAAUAACAUUGCGUCCAAAAUGACUUGACAAGUAGCACUACCUAAUUUUGCCUAAACAUCGCCUCUCAACUUUACUAACAAUAAACUAAUUGUAAACAAAUAAUUCUGUUAAACAUUCUUUGUAAGUAGAAUUUAAACUCUCAAAGAAGUAGUUUAUCUAUGGUGUAUUCUGAAUGUACUUUAAUUCGGUAUUAAAAAGAGAAAUGAACAUAAAGAAAAAUAACUAUGUUUCGCAAACCUUCUGAAAUAAUUUUAUGAUUUGUCAUAUUCUAUCAGCCAUAGCUUGUUUACAUAUUUCUCGUGAAUGACAUCUUAAUGGCUCUGUGCUUUUCUACAACUUAAACUAUAAAAUCAAUUUUAUUUGUUCAUAUCUCUUUUGUAAAACCAAAUAGUUUCAAAACUGUUCUAUUUUAUUCAUGCUUGUAUUCUUAUACUGUGGUUAAAUUUUUUAGAAUGUAAAUUAACAUAAUAUAAUAUAGGACCAUCUGUGCACAUAUAUCUUGAACCCAUUCUUGCGAUUUAUGUGAAGAGACGCUUAGAGGAUUUCGAAUUAAUAUAUGUACUUACUAAUAUAACAGAAGCAUGCAGUGUAGUUUUAGAAUUUUCUUGUUGUUUUAAUUUCCUGUUUUGAUAUAUAAAUCUGUAUUAAAUUGCGGUCAUAAAUUUAAAAAAUAUCGUAUCUUAUAAAAUGAUUUGCUUAUUAAU